AUCAAUCAUUCUAUAAUUCAUCAAUAAUUAGUAAAUUAAUUUAUUACAAUUUUUGCAUAGGGUUAAUCAUCAAUCAAAUUGACUAUUAUAUCCUAGAAUGAUUCUUAAUCAUCGAUCAGCCACAUAAUCAGUCAAAAAAUUUUUUUGAGUGUGAUCUCAUAGGUUUAAAUCUAAGCCAAUAGUGUAGGAAUAAUCUUUCUAUACCAAUCAAAGUGACCAUUUAGCAAUGGUAGCCGACGUCCGGAU
rnacentral:lncRNA from 1 species